UGGGGAAUUUUGGACAAUGGGCGCAAGCCUGAUCCAGCCAUGCCGCGUGCGGGAAGAAGGCCUUCGGGUUGUAAACCGCUUUUGUCGGGGAAGAAAUCUCUCGGGCUAAUACCUCGGGGGGAUGACGGUACCCGAAGAAUAAGCACCGGCUAACUACGUGCCAGCAGCCGCGGUAAUACGUAGGGUGCGAGCGUUAAUCGGAAUUACUGGGCGUAAAGCGUGCGCAGGCGGUCGCGCAAGACAGAUGUGAAAUCCCCGGGCUCAACCUGGGAACUGCAUUUGUGACUGCACGGCUGGAGUACGGCAGAGGGGGAUGGAAUUCCGCGUGUAGCAGUGAAAUGCGUAGAUAUGCGGAGGAACACCGAUGUCGAAGGCAGUCCCCUGGGCCUGUACUGACGCUCAUGCACGAAAGCGUGGGGAGCAAACA
rnacentral:rRNA from 1 species